rnacentral:tRNA from 1 species
GAAAAGAUAAGCUAAAUUUAAGCUUUUGGGUUCAUACCCCAACGAUAGUGAGACCACUUCUUUUUA